rnacentral:rRNA from 1 species
CCUGCCCAAUGAGGAUUUAAAUGGCCGCGGUAUUUUGACCGUGCAAAGGUAGCAUAAUAAUUAGUUUUUUAAUUGAAAGCUGGAAUGAAUGGUUGGACGAGAAAAUAGCUGUCUCAGGUUAAUUUAAUUAGAAUUUUAUUUUUAAGUAAAAAAGCUUAAAUUUUUUUAAAAGACGAGAAGACCCUAUAGAGCUUUAUAUAUUUAUAAUUAAAUAUAAUUUAGUAUAAUUAAGUUUUUAUUUUUAAAUGUAUUUUAUUGGGGUGAUAAAAAAAUUAAUGAAACUUUUUUUUUAUAUUAACAUUAAUUUAUGAGUUAUUGAUCCAUUUUUUAUGAUUAAAAGAUUAAGUUACCUUAGGGAUAACAGCGUAAUUUUUUUUUAGAGUUCUUAUCGAAAAAAGAGAUUGCGACCUCGAUGUUGGAUUAAAAUUAAUAUUUGGUGUAGAAGCUAAAUAAUUGGGUCUGUUCGACUUUUGAAAUUUUACA